AUGUAAAUGCCUACAACAUAGUGUUAAUGCAUCAGAUCCCAUUAGAAAUCUGCAUUUAAGCACACUCGAGCUAGAGUACUACUGGUAUGGUUGACCGCCUGGGAAGUCUUAGUGUUUUACAUG
rnacentral:rRNA from 1 species